GCUGGCGGCGUGCCUAAUACAUGCAAGUCGAACGCUUCUUUCCUCCCGAGUGCUUGCACUCAAUUGGAAAGAGGAGUGGCGGACGGGUGAGUAACACGUGGGUAACCUACCCAUCAGAAGGGGAUAACACUUGGAAACAGGUGCUAAUACCGUAUAACAAUCAAAACCGCAUGGUUUUGAUUUGAAAGGCGCUUUCGGGUGUCGCUGAUGGAUGGACCCGCGGUGCAUUAGCUAGUUGGUGAGGUAACGGCUCACCAAGGCCACGAUGCAUAGCCGACCUGAGAGGGUGAUCGGCCACAUUGGGACUGAGACACGGCCCAAACUCCUACGGGAGGCAGCAGUAGGGAAUCUUCGGCAAUGGACGAAAGUCUGACCGAGCAACGCCGCGUGAGUGAAGAAGGUUUUCGGAUCGUAAAACUCUGUUGUUAGAGAAGAACAAGGAUGAGAGUAACUGUUCAUCCCUUGACGGUAUCUAACCAGAAAGCCACGGCUAACUACGUGCCAGCAGCCGCGGUAAUACGUAGGUGGCAAGCGUUGUCCGGAUUUAUUGGGCGUAAAGCGAGCGCAGGCGGUUUCUUAAGUCUGAUGUGAAAGCCCCCGGCUCAACCGGGGAGGGUCAUUGGAAACUGGGAGACUUGAGUGCAGAAGAGGAGAGUGGAAUUCCAUGUGUAGCGGUGAAAUGCGUAGAUAUAUGGAGGAACACCAGUGGCGAAGGCGGCUCUCUGGUCUGUAACUGACGCUGAGGCUCGAAAGCGUGGGGAGCAAACAGG
rnacentral:rRNA from 1 species